rnacentral:rRNA from 1 species
GAUGAACGCUAGCGAUAGGCCUAACACAUGCAAGUCGAGGGGCAUCACAAAGAGUAGCAAUACUUUUGGUGGCGACCGGCGGAUGGGUGAGUAACACGUAUGCAACCUACCUUCUACAUUGGGAUAACCCGUUGAAAGACGGACUAAUACCGAAUAAUACAGGGGCGCCACAUGGUGAUAUUUGUUAAAGUUUCGAGCAAUCGAUUCGGUAGAAGAUGGGCAUGCGUAUGAUUAGCUAGUUGGUGAGGUAACGGCUCACCAAGGCAACGAUCAUUAGGGGUUCUGAGAGGAAGGUCCCCCACACUGGUACUGAGACACGGACCAGACUCCUACGGGAGGCAGCAGUGAGGAAUAUUGGUCAAUGGGCGCGAGCCUGAACCAGCCAAGUCGCGUGAAGGAAGACUGUCCUAUGGAUUGUAAACUUCUUUUGUACAGGAAUAAAGUGUUCUACGUGUAGGAUUUUGCAUGUACUGUACGAAUAAGGAUCGGCUAACUCCG